rnacentral:rRNA from 1 species
UAACACAUGCAAGUCGAGCGGUAACAGAUCUAGCUUGCUAGAUGCUGACGAGCGGCGGACGGGUGAGUAACGCGUAGGAAUCUACCCAGUAGCGGGGGAUAAGCGAGAGAAAUUUGGUCUAAUACCGCAACCCCCUUCGGGGGAAAGCAGGGGCUCUUCGGACCUUGCACUAUUGGAUGAGCCUGCGUGAGAUUAGCUAGUUGGUGAGGUAAUGGCUCACCAGGCGACAUUUUUUGCUGGUCUGAAAGGAUGAUCAGGCCACACUGGGACUGAGACACGGCCAGACUCUACGGGAGGCAGCAGUGGGGAAUAUUGCACAAUGGGCGCAAGCUGAUGCAGCCAUGCCGCGUGUGUGAAGAAGGCUUAGGGUUGUAAAGCACUUUCAGUCGUGAGGAGAGGUGUGUGCUUAAUACGUACAUACUGUGACGUUAGCGACAGAAGAAGGACCGGCUAACUCCGUGCCAGCAGCCGCGGUAAUACGGAGGGUCCGAGCGUUAAUCGGAAUUACUGGGCGUAAAGCGCGCGUAGGUGGAUUGGUCAGUCAGAUGUGAAAGCCCAGGGCUCAACCUUGGAACUGCAUCUGAUACUGCUAGUCUAGAAUACAGUAGAGGGUAGUGGAAUUUCCUGUGUAGCGGUGAAAUGCGUAGAUAUAGGAAGGAACACCAGUGGCGAAGGCGACUACCUGGACUGAUAUUGACACUGAGGUGCGAAAGCGUGGGGAGCAAACAGGAUUAGAUACCCUGGUAGUCCACGCCGUAAACGAUGUCUACUAGCCGUUGGAAGACUUGAUCUUUUAGUGGCGAAGCUAACGCGAUAAGUAGACCGCCUGGGGAGUACGGCCGCAAGGUUAAAACUCAAAUGAAUUGACGGGGGCCCGCACAACGGUGGAGCAUGUGGUUUAAUUCGACGCAACGCGAAGAACCUUACCAACUCUUGACAUCCAGAGAAGAGGCUAGAGAUAGCUUUGUGCCUUCGGGAACUCUGAGACAGGUGCUGCAUGGCUGUCGUCAGCUCGUGUUGUGAAAUGUUGGGUUAAGUCCCGUAACGAGCGCAACCCUUGUCCUUAUUUGCCAGCACGUAAUGGUGGGAACUCUAAGGAGACUGCCGGUGACAAACCGGAGGAAGGUGGGGACGACGUCAAGUCAUCAUGGCCCUUACGAGUUGGGCUACACACGUGCUACAAUGGCCGGUACAGAGGGCUGCAAACCUGCGAAGGUAAGCUAAUCUCACAAAACCGGUCGUAGUCCGGAUUGGAGUCUGCAACUCGACUCCAUGAAGUCGGAAUCGCUAGUAAUCGUGGAUCAGAAUGCCACGGUGAAUACGUUCCCGGGCCUUGUACACACCGCCCGUCACACCAUGGGAGUGGAUUGCACCAGAAGUAGCUAGCUUAACCUUCGGGAGGGCGGUUACCACGGUGUGGUUCAUGACUGGGGUG